GGGCAUCUUGGACCCUUUUCACAAGAUGGCGCCGAAAGCGAAGAAGGAAGCUCCUGCCCCUCCUAAAGCCGAAGCCAAAGCGAAGGCUUUAAAGGCCAAGAAGGCAGUGUUGAAAGGUGUCCACAGCCACAAAAAAAAGAAGAUCCGCACGUCACCCACCUUCCGGCGGCCCAAGACACUGCGACUCCGGAGGCAGCCCAAAUAUCCUUGGAAGAGCGCCCCCAGGAGAAACAAACUGGACCACUAUGCUAUCAUCAAGUUUCCGCUGACCACUGAGUCUGCCAUGAAGAAGAUAGAAGACAAUAACACACUUGUGUUCAUUGUGGAUGUUAAAGCCAACAAGCACCAGAUCAAACAGGCUGUGAAGAAGCUCUAUGACAUUGAUGUGGCCAAGGUCAACACCCUGAUUCGGCCUGAUGGAGAGAAGAAGGCAUAUGUUCGACUGGCUCCUGAUUACGAUGCUUUGGAUGUUGCCAACAAAAUUGGGAUCAUCUAAACUGAGUCCAGCUGGCUAAUUCUAAAUAUAUGUAUAUCUUUUCACCAUACACAUGCCUCUCUGUCAAUUUCUGGUUGGGUGGGAGGCCAUACACAGGAACUGUUGUUGUAACUUGCCCACUGCUUGGGCAAGACUCCUGUUCUGCUUAUCCUUUUGAAACUCACCCUGCCACUCACUCCUCCAUCCUUGAUCAUUCCACAGAUCUUUGUGACUAGCGUUAGUGUCCUAGGAAAACCAGAACUCAGAGCUUGUCUCCAUGGUUGAGGGUAACAAAAAGCUUUACAAGAACCCCUUUCAUCCCUCGAAGAGGCUGUGUGUGAAACCAGUGCCCAGAGUUUGAAGCACGUUAGCAUCCAUUUCAGAGGAGUGUGGGUUGGCUGGCUUUCCAGUAGCAUUUUGUCCUCACACACCCAUUCGCUAUGUCCAACCGGUCUGUCUGCUUCCCUCACCCCUUGCCCAAUAAAGGACAAGGACUUCAAAAAAAAAAAAAA